rnacentral:lncRNA from 1 species
GAAUGAUGUAUUAUGGUAUUAAUAGUAAAUUUUGUAAUUAUAUCUUUCAUGUUAUGUUAAGAGACGUUUUUAUAGUUUAUUUUCCUUGCAAGUGAUAAAAGGCAGAAACGGGACAGUUUCUGGAGUCAAUUUCAAAAUGAUGUUUCUAACUCUAUAAACGUCCAUUUGAAAUUAUAAAAAUAUUUCUGUUUUCCCCUUUGAGUUUUCUAAGUAUGGCCGAAGGAAUCACUCAAUUUGGAUAUCUAUGGUCUGAUUUAUCAAGGUUUUAACGUCCAAAGGUCAAUCUGGAUUCCCUGUGUAAUACUUCACUGUUUUCAGUAAAACGUCU